UAAUCAGAUUUUCGGGGAGCUACUUCUAAUCGCGUGACGUUUCAGACUCGUUGCUUUGCGUCGUGUUUACUCCGUGUGUACGAGUGUGCCUGUGUAGGAGGAGCGGGUUUAGAACUUCCGGCUCGAGAGUGAUUAGUGUACAAAGCGUGGAGAGUGGAAAAGGUUCGGGCUUAUUGGAAGGCAUCAGGAAAAAAUUGAAAUGAAGUGGGCGAGUGUUUUUUUUUGUUUGAAUUGUUUUGUUAUAAAUGUAUUACUCUCCAGUUCGGUUUUAUUGCUUACUUACAAACGUAUAAAAACAUACAUAUAAUUAGUUUACCGAUCGCGCGCAGCAUAGUGACAAAAAGGGGAUUGGAAGGGAAAGUAGGGACAUUAUCUUAGUGUUAAUGCGCGAUUACACCGUCUUAAUGUGAAAAACUGUGAGUGUUUUAUGUUUAAUUUGUUAAUAAAUAAAUCUUAACACUAGCUAAGUAACACGGCAAGCUGUAACAACGAAAAAAAAGCGUUGGAACCAAUCGAACCCGAACGUCGAGUUCUGUUCGACGAGACUAAGCCUAUUAAGUGAUCGACGAGAAUUCGACCUCAGAACUUUAGCGACAAGAUCACACACAUCUUCGUGGCGGUAGCGUAGUAACAAGCAAAAACAAAGGAGCAGUAGUAAAAGUGAUCGCAGCAGCAACAGAAGUAGCAACAGCAACAGAAGGAGUGUCAAACUGCAUGCAACUGUCAGACGAUGCAGCGGCAAUGGCGGUAAUGGCGGCACAAGAUCCGACAUGUCUGCCACAACUUGACAAGAUAAGUAUUUCGUUUCAAAGGCAUUUGUGUGUGUUACCAAACAAAUUGCUGCAGCGUUAAUUUAUCGUUUUGCCUCGCGUUAAACACACAAAAACAGCACACAAGAUCUAUUACACUUCCCAGAUGGGGGCGCCUGAUUUUGUAAGCCAUGCAUAUCGCUUUGACUUUCGUAGAACGUUCGGGGUCAUUCGCCCGGUUUGUACGUGCGGUCAAAUUAGCGUAGCAGGCUGCAAAGGAGCGGGUUAAAGGACGUCGACAUUUUGUAAGAAAAAAAACCACUCACUCUCACACACACACACACACACACACACACAAUCAUAACGAAACAAAGCGGCGAUACUAUUUUUAGCUAUUUUUUAAAACACAAAAGAAAUUUGGCGGUUUAUGCGUGUGUGUCUGUUUUGUUGUUGUCGUUGUUGAUGUCAUAAACAAGUGCACGUACGCAUACAAACUGCAACCAUCUUGAGGACGCUGCAGCAAAUUGUGGUUUGGGUAGCAGUUGGCUAAAGAUCAUCCUUACUGACGCUAGAAUUUGUUUCUUUUUUGAACAGGAUACAGGUGAUGGCGAGUUGGCGCCAACCGAACGUGAGGAGACCCUUUUGGAGGCUAGCGAUUGCAAGUUGUUAACUUUUACUGCCUAAUCAGCAUUCGCUACCAGGGUUGGAAGUAAGGCUCAUCUCAUCAGGGCAAGUGCAUACAUCAGUCCGUCCAACGCAAGUCUAACAAACGACAGUCCCUAACAAGAGGCAGGUGUGACAACAAUAGCGCACGGCACGUCAUCGUCCAAAAACAAACCAACCAAGCUAGAUCUAGAGGAGCCGCGCGCGUGGGGACUGCUUCGUCAUUGUUUGUUCCAACAAAAUGACUCAACCGGCUGAGACAUCCCUCGGGACAUCCUCACUAAGUAACGCGAUGAUUUAGGAUGUGAAUUCACCUACACCUACCGGAAGCCCGGAGAACAUUCUAGAAUAAUUUUUGGGUUCCCGCAUAUGUCUACUAUCUGAUCACGCUCACGAGCUCACGGUCGAAGUCUAAACAAAUCAAACAUCGAGAAUUCGGUUGCUGGCGCUUUGAAGUUCCAAUAUAUACUCCAUUCCUGAAAUCUCUUGAGUCCAAGGCAAUUGAAAGAUGCCUAUCUUGCCCUACACGCUCCAUACUGUUACAGUGUCCAACAUCGCGCAUUUCGUUGCUUCCCUCUUGUUAUGCUCAGUACCCGGAUUCGAACGAUCAUUCUCACGGACGGCUUCACUUGUUUGCGUCCCUCCGUUUCAGCCAGUACCCGGUUGCGGGAUUUGUUUGGGGAGAUGUAGGUUUUGUGCUAACGAAAUCUAUUUUAGUAAUGAAAUCUUUAUUGCUAAUUAUUCAGCUCGAAAGAAGCACUAGACGCCGCACAAAGAUUGAAGCAUUUUGGGGUGUUUUUUUGUGUUGGGGAGAAGAGUUACAUAAUUGUUUCCUGCACGCUAUCCUUCUUCAUCCUGUCCUAAAGCUUUGCUUCUCGUUCCUCCACUUCCUCUGACCGCCUUUUUAUGUUUGAUGUUUGACUAAAGAGUACUUCUACGUUUUGCAAACCCAAUCAAUGUGUAUCACCGCCACCGUAAAGAUAUCGAUCAAUUGCGCUUCAAGGUAAGUAAGACCGAGUAAUAAAUCGUGUGUAGUUCUGGUUUUAAUCUCUCUUCAUGCGCAAUAAAGUAAAUUAAUGAACCGUGAAAGUACAUUUCCAAUACACACCAACCAACAAAAAAUGAAAGCGAGCCUUUAGUUACUGUACAUCUUCACUCAUCAUCCGAAAAUCAAUCGAAAGAAUUCUUGGAAGAGAAAAACACAAAAAAAUCACAUCAGCGCCCUGCAGUAAAACAAACAGAUUAAACACCUUCGAACCUCAACCCGAAGGUCAGCAUGAUUCAUGCUCCAGAAGCAGAUCCAAAUCCGCGGCAGUCUUCCGGGACGCGAUCGCUUUUCCGUGUGCAAACAUGCUUACCACAUGUGGUGGCCAUCAUCACCGGCAGCAGAGGUGAUGUGGCCGUUAAACAGAACGCCACACGAAGCACACGGCGUCCUAUAAUUAGAACAGUUCGCCGUGUUCGCUUGCCGUGUGGAAAAAAAACAGGGAAAACAAGCAAGUCUCACUCGGCGUGGGGUGCACCGAAAAACCAAAUCUCAUCAGGUUUGUCAUCAGCAUCCGCUCACCUUACGGUGGUAGCAUAAAUGCGCACCGUUGGGAUGUCUAGGAGAUGUGGCAAGAGCCGGCGUGUCGGCGCGACGCUGACUCAACUCCCGGGCGUUGGAAUAUUCCAAACGGGUGUGUGCACACACCUUUACAACGGUCCGAAUCGCAUCCGAACUGCACACGGCACGCACGGCGGCGGUAUUUGACCAUCGACUCUCCAAGCAGACGACGGUGGCCACGUAUAAUUAGGGUAGGGUAUUGCAUCGCUUUUCUACCACCGCCCUUACUGCCGCGAUUCGCCCACUGAGAUGCACAACACGACACCGUUGCUCAGGGACGUUGCAAAAUUCUUCAUCCAAAAGUUAAAAUGCACCUUCACGCAUGGUGCGGCCAUGAGAAUGUGACGUCGGCGAUCUUCUCAUCGCAGAAUGCUGCAUGUUUUGCGAGACAUUGUGAUGGACGCUGGCUAUUAAUCUUGCUGAGCGCAAACGAAUGCUUUACGGUGGAAGAUGCUGAGGAUUUUCUGGGUUUGCUUUUUUUCUUUUGGCAUAAUUUUAACACCCUCACACCACAAGCAGAACGAACGAACGAGCGAUUGACGGGUCGACGACAUGUGAAUAUGCAGGAAGAUCGUGUACGCGCGUAGGUGAUUCCACGGAAAAUGGGAAAAUCGUGUACAUGUGUGCAUGUGUUAUUUUUUCGAAGAAAAUACCAAAAAGUUAGGUUGAUCAGCAAAAGGAAGAAUUGAUUAUUUAAUCAAUGUGUGUUUUCAUCUUUCUUUUUUCCUUUCUUCAAACCGAACCUAAUAUUUCAGGACGUUUCACUUGAUGCCAAUCUCGCAACGGAUGGUGUACAGGGAUGGAUUCGUACACUGUCGGGGUAGAAUUUUGUUGUUGGUGUUUUACACCAAUUAACGGAGAAGUUAUGGCGACCGGGUUGGAGAAGGCUUUAACUAUUGGAAUUUGGAAAUGGCCACGGAGUCAAAACCGGUGACGGCUCACAAAACGAUUCCUCGCACGCAUGUGUGUGUGUCAUUCGAUCUAUUUUCAUUGCUAAAAAUAGCGAAGACACUGGUGGGAAGGAGAUGUCCCGACGAUGGCGGGAUCUCGUUCCCCAUUUCGUAUCGUAUUGUGCUCGUGUGCGUGUUUCGUGGUGUAUGUGUGUUGGAUGUGUUCGAUCAUUGGGGUGGUAUCAAGUUUAGAGGAGGGUAAAAGAACCUGCCAGUCUCUUAUCAGUUCGUUCGUUUGCUUGUGUUGUGUAACGCUGACGUUACGGCUCUACCCUUGGGCGCCAUAUUGACAAAACGCUUCCUGUUGGCCUUUCCCUCUUUUUUAUUGUGUUAACAUUAUCCUCAAGCUAUAAAAAACUAAGCUGGCCUAAUUAUGCGCGGUGUGUAUAAUGUGUCAGUUAAGUCGAUCAUUAAAAUCAGCAAAGCUUACAUAUCAUGUGGGAAGAGGAUACUACCUCUGCUAGACGUAUAAAAAACAGCAUCAAAAAACAUGGCGCGUUAUUAUAAAUAUGUAAAUAGCUAUUCUCUUCUCCUCUUUGGCGUUCCUUGCAUUUCCAACUCAACGUACGUGUUUCUUCCAUUCUAAAUGUUUUUAUGUUAUAACGGUUUUUUUUUCACGAACGCUUUUCAUGUGAUGUAUGCACUUGCACUAGGUUUUAAGAUUUGGGAUUUUAACAUUAAGCUCUCCAAACGGUUUGUUGACAAAUAACGACAAAAACAAAUAAACAAUGUCGCCCCAAGCAGAAAGACACUUGUGGGGGUAAGUUGUUAGAACAAUAGUUGCAUCCUCUUUGUGUUCCUCUGUUCGACGUUCUUGCCCACUGCUCGCUACUCGUCCACAAGAUGGUGUCACUUUGUCGCGAACUCUAACUUGUAGAACGUUUAGUUGUUCUUUUCGUUUUGGUUAAUAAUUGUCUCAGCAAAGGAGCUGCUCCAUAGUGCUCCAGAGCUACAACUGUUGCUGCUGCAUAUUAAAGCGAAAAUACCCAAACUUUUUGGGGG